AUUGGACGCUGGCGGAAUGCUUUACACAUGCAAGUCGAGCGGCAGCGCGGCCUUCGGGCUGGCGGCGAGCGGCGAACGGGUGAGUAAUGCAUCGGAACAUGCCCAGUCGUGGGGGAUAACACUUCGAAAGAAGUGCUAAUACCGCAUACGUCCUGAGGGGGAAAGCGGGGGAUCGCAAGACCUCGCGCGAUUGGAGUGGCCGAUGUCAGAUUAGCUAGUUGGUGGGGUAAAGGCCUACCAAGGCGACGAUCUGUAGCUGGUCUGAGAGGAUGAUCAGCCACACUGGGACUGAGACACGGCCCAGACUCCUACGGGAGGCAGCAGUGGGGAAUGUUGGACAAUGGGGGCAACCCUGAUCCAGCCAUUCCGCGUGAGUGAAGAAGGCCUUCGGGUUGUAAAGCUCUUUCGGCAGGAACGAAACGGUGGGCUCUAACAUAGUCCGCUAAUGACGGUACCUGAAGAAGAAGCACCGGCUAACUACGUG
rnacentral:rRNA from 1 species